AUUGAACGCUGGCGGCAUGCUUUACACAUGCAAGUCGAACGGCAGCGCGGGCUUCGGCCUGGCGGCGAGUGGCGAACGGGUGAGUAAUGCAUCGGAACGUGCCCAGUAGUAGGGGAUAGACAGGCGAAAGCCGGCUUAAUACCGCAUACGACCUGAGGGUGAAAGCGGGGGGCCGAAAGGCCUCGCGCUCUUGGAGCGGCCGAUGUCGGAUUAGCUAGUUGGUGGGGUAAAGGCUUACCAAGGCGACGAUCCGUAGCUGGUCUGAGAGGACGACCAGCCACACUGGGACUGAGACACGGCCCAGACUCCUACGGGAGGCAGCAGUGGGGAAUUUUGGACAAUGGGGGCAACCCUGAUCCAGCCAUGCCGCGUGCGGGAAGAAGGCCUUCGGGUUGUAAACCGCUUUUGUUCGGGAAGAAAUCCUCUGGGCUAAUACCCCGGGGGGAUGACGGUACCGGAAGAAUAAGCACCGGCUAACUACGUG
rnacentral:rRNA from 1 species